CCAGGUUGUGUAUUUUUGCAGGUCAAUUAUUUGGCACAAUUUGGAGUUAAAGACAAAGGAGAUUGUAUAUGUAAUUUACUAAGAAUUGUUUUUUAAAAUGGCAUAGCUCUAAAAUUAAACUAUACAGGGAGAGGACAAAAUAUUGGAAUAGGAAAAAUGUUGAUUGGCAUAUGUUGCUAUUGAAACUGUGAAGUCAAAUAAGCAUGGCUUAUGCAGACAUGUGAUAGAGAUAGUGGAAGCAAAAAUAAUAAUAGUGGGUACCAAAUAUCAUAAACUAAAUACGAUUCAAUAACAAGUAGCUCAGCUGAUAUCGAUACUACUCUAUAAAUUUUAUAGUGAAUUUUUUUAUUUGAAACUCAAUGAGUCAGUUUUCGGUUUAAGUUUGGUGUUUGCAAUGUGUAUAUUUAACCGAGAAAUUAAGUUAAAUAAAUAAAUUUUUAUACUUGUAUCA